UUUAUAACCAAGUACUUCAAAUAUUUACAAGUAUUGAGAGUUUUAGAUAACAUAAGGAAGUUAAACCUGCUGCUAAAGGAGGUUUUGAUCAAUACUGUGCAAAAUCUGUUAUAACUGGAAUGCAUAGUAUCGGGACAUUCGUUUAAAAUAGUAUUUAGCAAAUGAUCCAGUAUUCAUGGGGUUUCGUAUAUUAACAGUGUUACUAACUGCGUUUGCAGAAUAUAGUAUGGUGACAUGCUUACCUAGCAACGACUGGCAUUUCCAAGGACAAAAUGUGGCAUUGGGAAAAACAGCAUCUCAAAAACCUGCUACAUUCAGGGAAUCUUAUCCGUCUUACUUUAGCUAUAAUGCGAGUCUAGCUGUUGACGGAAAUGAUGACAACGACUUUUCUGAAAGGAGUUGUAGC